CCUAAUUUCCCCCUUGAAACCCCCAACUUUACAAACACACCGUCCUUUAAAACUUUUGAACGCUAUUUUUUCUUUCUCUGCAGAACUUUUCUUAACCCACAAGCUUUAGCUGUUCUAUGCGAUUCCAUCACGGAUCCAAAGGACACGAGGCUCCGCGAAUUAGAAUUGUUCGUGCGUGGCUUAUGCGUAUGAUGCUGGCAUUGGUUGCAUGUUAUGGAGUAGAGAUUUGAUUGAUGUCCAGAAAUUCUCUAAUCGGGGAGUCGAUCUUUACAUUCAUCUGCCAUCUUCGGAACUUGAUAAAGGGAAUAGUGAGAUAAUUGUUAUUACAACAGUAAUUUCAGGCAUGGUCAUGAUUAUAAUAAUUUCUGCACUCUUCUUAUUGCGUAGAAUGGGUCAACAAAGAGCAUGCAACAAACUAUAGAACGUUAUAGGCGGCAUACAAAGGAUAACGAAACUAAUAAGCCAAUUGAACAAAACCUGCAAGUUAGCAUGUCUUUUGUUUUUGAUGUCUUAAUGCAAUUAAUUAUAGAUUUAUUUAUGAUUUUCAUCUCUUUACUUUAUAUAGAUUCUCCUUCAUUUGUUAGUAAACACAUGAAUUUGAAUCACUAGUUUUUGUUAAUUGUCAUGUAUAAAUUGGUAAGGUUUAACCUUAUUGUCAUAUUGGAUUAAUUUCAUGUAAAUAUAAAUUAUAUAUAUACCCAGGUUAUUAAUUUCAUGUUUUUAUGGUGCAUAUCGACUGAGAAUGGCAGCAUCUAGAGGCUGAAUCAGCAAACAUGUUGAAGACAGUAGAGGAUCUUGAAGUUUCAAGAAGGGGGAUCUCUUUUUGGAUAUGAUCUUGGUGUUUCUGGUGGAGUGACUUCCCUGGAUGAUUUCUUGAAGGAAUUCUUCCCAAAUAUAUAGAGAAGGAAACAAGCACAUCUUCAUGAAACUGACUACUGCAAACAUGACAACCAGCUCCUCACACUUUUUAAGUCUUCCCUCUACUUCGCAGGCCUUGUUUCUACAUUUGGAGCCUCCUAUGUUACUAGAAACAAAGGGCGUCGAGCCAACAUCCUUGUUGGUGCAGUCAGCUUCUUCCUAGGAAGAGCUAGCAAUGCAGGUGCGGUGAAUAUCACAAUAUUGAUCAUAGGACGCAUUCUUCUUGCUGCAGACAUCUAAAUGUGUUUGGUAUUUUAGGUAUCCAACAUUUAUUGAUGCACUUAGAGAUUUGGAUGAUCCUCUUACAAUGGUGCACCUGUUUGCAAUGUUAACUUUGAAUCUUUGAAUCUUUGGAUUUAGGAUUUGUUUGAAUUAUCUUUCUAAUUAGUUACUUUUCUCAUUUCCUACUGGAUAGAAAUGUGUUUGACUCUGGAUAUUUUCAUCAUUUCAGGCAAGAAUGAUUGAUUUUUAUUACAGUCUGAUUAUGGUUUUA